AGCAGAAAGCAACAGAGAAAUGAAUGAGAUUCACGUGGAACUCAGCCUAGGACUCGGGAUGCUAAGCUGGCCACGCCUGCCCGUGCCCCCUGGACCCCCUCACCGCCCACGGGGAUCCCCAUCAGCCAGCAGCAUCUCCUUGAACUUCUAGCAGAUCCCAGCAUUCCAUGCAGAGGAGGCAGAAAUCUCACACCAGGAGCAAGUUCCCUGAACUGAGUGUUUGGAGAGAAUGUUUUCCCCAAAAAGUACCUUCAAGUUCUUUAGAAAACGCAUCCCAGGCGGGGGUCCCGGGCAGCUGGAAGGCCCCGGGCAACGCAGCCCUUCUUCCAAGAUGCUGUCCCACGUGUCAAGCUGAGUGUCUGCUGCCUUGACAUUUUGAGCGUCUGUCUUCCUCUCCUGGCUUCGCUCCAGGUAGGGACUGCCGGCCAAGGUCACCAGAGCUCUCGGGGUCUACACUGAAGGAUUAAAGCAACUUCCUUCCAAGAUAAAUACAUUCCCUUCCAUGGAAAAUCUUGUCCAAUCAAGCCAGAAGAAUGCAGACAUCAGAGCAAUUUUUCCCAGCUCAACUGAGGAUUGCUCUAUAUACUAAGUCAUGAAGACAGGUGUCACCGAGCAGAGCGUCCCAGUUUUGUCAUGGGUAUUGGCGUGCACACCUG